UUCAGGCUCAUUUUCCACAUGCAAGAUAAUCUUUUGGAAAAUUCAGAAAGAUUGUCACACCAGUCUUGAGCAAAAGCUUUAAUAAAUCAAAAAUACCUGUUUGUAUGCAUUCACACUCAUGUUUUUCAAUAAAACUGUUUAACUGUGUAAUUAAUUGGCUGAACAUACUUUGCACCAAUUUCUUUCAUGGAUUAUACUGUCAUUUAAUAAUUGAGAUACAAGUCAGUGGGGAGAAGGAUUAGUCUGUCAGCUUUAAAGUGCUUAGAGUCAGUGUUUGUUCAUGCACAAACGGUAGACGUAAAUGACUUGUGAGGAGUUAAUGCAUGAAUAAUAAUUGUUAUCAACAUGCUACAGGCAUGAACUGUGUGCCUCAUGAAUAACUGUACUGCUCCUGUGUCUGCACAAAUCAAUGGAAGAUUGAAAAGAAUCUUGAACAGGAAGACAGAAAACUCAAAGAGCUGACGAUACCAGAUUACCAGUUCUCUGGACAAGUAGUGAACCUAAGACUAUAAUGUACAGAGGCUCUGUUAUCUAUUCAAGAGUAGAAGUCCGGAAUACAUUCAGCAAGAACAGUUGCCCUGAAGCACUAAUGCAGGUUAUAUCUGAUUAUCCUUCUAUUUUUGACUUUACAUUGGUAAAGUAUGAUUACCAGCUUUGGCCAGCCAGCAGAGCCAUUGCCAUUAGUAGAGCAAUUCAUGUCGGCAUGAGGUAUACACGCAUGAAGAGGCAACUGCAUCUCAUGUUGCAAGUGGGAUAAGUCAGUGGUACACCAGUGAAUGACUUCAACUUUGGUUCCAUCUGAGGAGAAAGCAUUUCCCAGCACAGAAGUUAUACACUGUGGUACAUCCUGCAAGACUCCAACUGCAAGUGGAAGGCAAAUUCAACCCCUCUGGUGCACUAACUCACACAUGUGCAGCCAUUCCUCCCCCAGGGCAACACAGUCAUUUUGAGUUAACUUCAUGUAAGCC
rnacentral:lncRNA from 1 species